AAUCGCCGUCGCUUGACAGGUUCCCCUGGCCUGACAACAGGUCGGGGGAUAAUAGGGAAGACGGUGUAAAUCCGUCGCGGGGCCGCCGCUGUAAUCGGCCAGGCCCCCGGACCAACCAAAGCCACUGCCGCAAGGCGGGAAGGCGGUCCGGGUGCCGUGAUGAGCCGAGAGCCAGAAGACCUGCCCGUCGAGCUUCUGUUCC
rnacentral:ncRNA from 2 species